CAGCGAUUAAUUUCUUUAUACUUGUUCCUGAAUUACAAAACGUUCCUUCUGUUCCUGAAUAGCUUCUUUCAAAAGGGUUUCUGCUUCUUCGGUGAAUGUUUUGGUAGAAGAUAUGAUUUCUUGGAACUGAGGUUUAUUCGUUUUUAAGUAGGUACGUAACUCAACGAGAAAUUUCCUUACUUGUCCGAUUUCUAAUGAAUCAAGAUAACCAUUCGUUCCGGUAUAAAUAGUCAUUAUUUGUUCCUCUACCGUGAGAGGAGCUGAUUGGGAUUGUUUGAGCAACUCGCGUAGUCGUUGACCUCUUGCCAAUUGAUUCUGAGUAGCUUUAUCGAGAUCAGAAGCGAAUUGCGCAAAGGCUUCUAAUUCUGCGAAUUGCGCCAAUUCCAAUUUUAACUUACCAGCUACCUGUUUCAUAGCUUUUAUUUGAGCUGCGGAUCCUACUCUGGAAACAGAAAUACCCACAUUAAUAGCAGGCCUGAUUCCAGCAUUGAAUAGAUCGGCGGAUAAGAAUAUUUGUCCAUCUGUAAUGGAAAUUACAUUAGUAGGAAUAUAAGCCGAAACGUCUCCUGAUUGGGUCUCGACUAUUGGUAAAGCAGUCAUACUUCCUUCACCUAAACGAGAACUUAAUUUAGCAGCUCUUUCCAAAAGGCGUGAAUGCAAAUAAAAGACAUCUCCUGGAUAAGCUUCACGACCAGGUGGUCUUCGUAAUAGAAGAGACAUUUGGCGAUAAGCCUGCGCUUGUUUGGAGAGAUCAUCAUAAAUGAUUAAAGUGUGUCGUUCACGGUACAUAAAAUAUUCAGCCAGAGCCGCUCCUGUAUAAGGGGCGAGGUAUUGUAAUGUAGCCGGAGAAUCCGCCGUUUCGGCUACCACAAUAGUGUACUCCAUUGCCCCUCUUUCCUGUAAAGUAGUCACUACCUGAGCCACAGAAGACGCUUUUUGCCCAAUAGCUACAUAAACACAUAUUACAUUUUGUCCUUGUUGAUUGAGAAUUGUAUCUGUGGCUACUGCUGUUUUACCGGUCUGUCUAUCCCCAAUAAUUAAUUCUCGUUGACCACGUCCUAUAGGGAUCAUCGAAUCAAUAGCAAUAAGUCCUGUUUGAAGAGGCUCAUAUACAGAACGUCUCGAAAUAAUACCUGGAGCGGGGGAUUCAAUUAGCCGAGAUUCAGAAGCUGAAAUUUCACCUCGACCGUCAAUAGGUUUAGCUAGGGCAUUUAUAACACGACCCAAAUAAGCCUCACUCACAGGUAUCUGAGCAAUUCUUCCUGUUGCUUUUACGGAGCUUCCCUCUUGUAUCAUUAAACCGUCACCCAUUAAUACAACACCGACAUUAUUUGAUUCCAAAUUCAGAGCAAUGCCUAUUGUACCCUCUUCAAAUUCUACUAAUUCGCCUGCCAUUACUUCAUCAAGACCAUAAAUACGAGCAAUGCCGUCGCCUACUUGAAGUACGGUACCGGUAUUUACAAUCUUUACUUCCCUAUUAUAUUGCUCAAUACGUUCGCGGAUAAUAUUACUAAUCUCGUCGGCUCGAAUGGUUACCAUGAGUAUUU
rnacentral:misc_RNA from 1 species